UACGUAGGGUGCAAGCGUUGUCCGGAAUUAUUGGGCGUAAAGAGCUCGUAGGUGGUUUGUCGCGUUGUUCGUGAAAUCUCACGGCUUAACUGUGAGCGUGCGGGCGAUACGGGCAGACUGGAGUACUGCAGGGGAGACUGGAAUUCCUGGUGUAGCGGUGGAAUGCGCAGAUAUCAGGAGGAACACCGAUGGCGAAGGCAGGUCACUGGGCCGCAACUGACGCUGAGGAGCGAAAGCAUGGGGAGCGAACAGG
rnacentral:rRNA from 1 species